rnacentral:rRNA from 1 species
UACGUAGGGGGGCAAGCGUUGUCCGGAUUUAUUGGGCGUAAAGAGCGUGUAGGCGGCCGUACAGGUCAGCUGUGAAAACUCGAGGCUCAACCUCGAGACGUCGGUUGAAACCGUACGGCUAGAGUCCGGAAGAGGAGAGUGGAAUUCCCCGGUGUAGCGGUGAAAUGCGCAGAUAUCGGGAAGAACACCCGUGGCGAAGGCGGCUCUCUGGGCAUUACCUGACGCUGAGGAGCGAAAGUG